UUCUGACAUGGCUCAGUUGGUAGAGCAUGAGACUCUUAAUCUCAGAGUCAUGGGUUCAAGGGCCCAUGUUGGGCCCAAA